CACGCCGUAAACGAUGAUUACUCGCUGUUGGCGAUACACUGUCAGCGGCUAAGCAAAAGCAAUAAGUAAUCCACCUGGGGAGUACGGCCGCAAGGUUGAAACUCAAAGGAAUUGACGGGGGCCCGCACAAGCGGAGGAACAUGUGGUUUAAUUCGAUGAUACGCGAGGAACCUUACCCGGGCUCGAACGGUGCAUGAAUGUUCAAGAGAUUGGAUAGUCCUUCGGGACAUGUAUCGAGGUGC
rnacentral:rRNA from 1 species